CCUACGGGCGGCAGCAGUGGGGAAUUUUGGACAAUGGGCGCAAGCCUGAUCCAGCUAUUCCGCGUGUGGGAUGACGGCCUUCUGGUUGUAAACCACUUUUGUAGAGAACGUAAAGUCUGUUGAUUAUACCGAUCGAUGAUGACGGUACUCUAAGAAUCUGCACCGGCUAACUACGUGACAGCAGCCGCGGUAAUACGUAGGGUGCGAGCGUUAAUCGGAAUUACUGGGCGGAAGGGGUGUGCAGGCGGUUUUGCAAGAUGGAUGUGAAAGCCCCGGGCUUAACCUGGGAAAGCCAUACAUGACUGCAAGACUAGAGUGCGUCAGAGGGGGGUGGAAUUCCAAGUGUAGCAGUGAAAUGCGUAGAUAUUUGGAAGAACACCGAUGGCGAAGGCAGCCCCCUGGGACGCAACUGACGCUCAUACACGAAAGCGUGGGGAGCAAACAGGAUUAGAUACCCCUGUAGUC
rnacentral:rRNA from 1 species